GCUAAGCCCUAAACAUUGAAAGCCACCACGCUUUCCGCCAGAGAACUACGAGCAACAAGCUUAAAACUCAAAGGACUUGACGGUGUCCCACAUCGACCUAGAGGAGCCUGUCCUGUAAUCGAUACCCCCCGUUCCACCCAACCAUUACUAGCAAUCAGCCUAUAUACCGCCGUCGACAGUCUACCCCAUGAGGGAACAGUAGACACAAUAGUUAUCAACUAGUACGUCAGGUCAAGGUGUAGCAAAUGUAAAGGAAGAGAUUGGCUACAUUUUUUAACUUAAAAAACACGAAAUAUAGCAUGAAACCCUAUAUGAAGGCGAAUUUAGCAGUAAAAUAAACAAGAGUGUUUAUUUUAACAUCGCUCUGGGACGCGU
rnacentral:rRNA from 1 species